AUUGAACGCUGGCGGCAUGCUUUACACAUGCAAGUCGAACGGUAACAGGUUAAGCUGACGAGUGGCGAACGGGUGAGUAAUGCAUCGGAACGUGCCCGGUCGUGGGGGAUAACGCAGCGAAAGCUGCGCUAAUACCGCAUACGAUCUGAGGAUGAAAGCGGGGGACCGUAAGGCCUCGCGCGAUCGGAGCGGCCGAUGUCAGAUUAGGUAGUUGGUGGGGUAAAGGCUCACCAAGCCAACGAUCUGUAGCUGGUCUGAGAGGACGACCAGCCACCCUGGGACUGCGACACGGACAAGACUCCUACGGGAGGCAGCAGUGGGGAAUUUUGGACAAUGGGCGAAAGCCUGAUCCAGCAAUGCCGCGUGCAGGAAGAAGGCCUUCGGGUUGUAAACUGCUUUUGUACGGAGCGAAAAGGUCCUUUCUAAUACAAGGGGCUCAUGACGGUACCGUAAGAAUAAGCACCGGCUAACUACGUGCCAGCCGCCGCAGUAA
rnacentral:rRNA from 1 species